CUCAUAAAGUGCGUCGUAGUCCGGAUUGGAGUCUGCAACUCGACUCCAUGAAGUCGGAAUCGCUAGUAAUCGUGGAUCAGAAUGCCACGGUGAAUACGUUCCCGGGCCUUGUACACACCGCCCGUCACACCAUGGGAGUGGGUUGCAAAAGAAGUAGGUAGCUUAACCUUCGGGAGGCGCUUACCACUUUGUGAUUCAUGACUGGGGUGAAGUCGUAACAAGGUAACCGUAGGGGAACCUGCGGUUGGAUCACCUCCUUACCUUAAAGAAGC
rnacentral:rRNA from 1 species